CGUUAUUUAUACUUGGCUCACCACUGUAAGCUUUGUUGAAAACGUAUUGAAAGGGUACACUUCUCCCUCCCAUGCUGUAUGUUACUGUGGAGGUCUUUUGCAAAUGGGUGUACUGUUUGUGUAUCAUUGUAUAUCAUACAUAUGUUACUCUGUAUUAUUCUUGUGGAACAGCAAAAUGGCUUCUGGUUGGGGUGCGGGCUAUCAAUGUGCAUUGCAGCUAAUUUUCAGCUGCCCUAUCCACUACUGUCCUGAUAAUUGUGGAUGUGCAGUCUUCAUAUGUGCCGAGUGAUAUGUUACGUACACUUAAUGCUUUAGUCCAGUGCCAAACUAAUAUGAGAGACCAGGCAUUUAAAAGUGUGUGGAGCAUGGACCAGAAAUGUUCAUGACAUGAGCCAAGAAGUCUGUGGAGUCAUUUUACCUUAAAGAAUAGAUGAACUUUCUGCUUGUGACAUCAUAUCAAAAGUAUUUUGCUUCCCUGGGGAUGGUCUUUUCAGCUUUCACUUUGUGGUGAGAGUAUACUGAUGAGUUCUGGGACCAAACUUCUGACAUUAUGUAAGAAUGACUGAUAAUAGCUUAGGUGCUGAAUUUUCUGUUCUGCAAUAUCCACAAUGCAAGUAUGAAAGGUGAUUCCCAUCAAAAGAAGAAUGGCAAGAGUCUUUUAUUGGUUGUAUAAGACUGGGUAGAAAUGGGACUCCAUAUUUUAAACGACAAAUUGAAUU